rnacentral:tRNA from 1 species
CAAAAAGUAGUAUAUAACAUUACAGUCCGUUUACACCGAACUAAAGGGUCACUCCCUUUUUGA